rnacentral:misc_RNA from 1 species
UUUUUUUUUUUUUUUUUUUUAUCGAUAGGUACAUGGGGGGAGGGGGAUUGAACCGUGGACAUGGCCCAGGUUCAUUGUGCCCUUGCCACUGGACCAAAGCCAGGCGGACAACUACAGAAUAUUGAUCACUCUUUUUAACAACUUGAAUUUUUUUCCAGAAACAAGUGAAAACAAAAAAACAAUAAAUGAAAGGACCACUAGCACUCCACCCCACAUUGUUUAAGAAUAGGGCCAGUUUGCUUGGGCAAGAAAGGAUCAAUUCUGACCCAAACCAGUGAGAAAAUUGAUGCAAGAAGGACAGACCACAGGACUACAAUGGUAGGAGUUCUGUUUUGCCUUCCCAUUAGACCUUUGAGGAAAGGAUACAAAUGAGCAAUGACCCAGAAAGCAAAAAAUAGCUUCCCAAAUAAGGGACCCCAUGAGCCAUAUCCAUUGUUGAUUGCAUCAGAUACUCCAGCCACAACUCCCACCAUAUUUAUGAUAAUUAGAGUAGUUGGUGGGAUGAGAAGGGUGGUCCAUUUGAAGAGGUAGAGCUCUCCAAACUCUGUAUCAUCUGCUGCUUUUGCUGUGACAGUGAAGUUUGUGUCCACUCCACCCAGGACCUUUAGGAGGCCUUGGAACACAGCAAAAAGAUGUGCUGAGACACCACCUAUCACCCAGAAUUGCUCGUUACGCCACAAGUCCUCGAUGCUCACUGUACUCCAACGAAGCUCUAGGACACUUGUUGCUAUAAUGGAGAGGAAAAGUGCCAAGAACCAUACACUAGCCAGGUUGGUUAGCUGCAAGAGAGAAAUUUCUUGUUAAACCGUUGAAAACCUUGGCAAUUUACAUUUUCAAGAAAUUCAAGCAUGCUCAUACUUCGCAAACUAUUUCUUACAGUUUCACUGGAAAUAAUUCAUUCCUACAACUAUUUCUGCAAUGGGGCUCAGGAUUACUCACUGUAGGGAUGAUGAAUUUUCCGGUCAGAAGGCAUACAGCAGGAAUAGUACAGUAGGCAAGUAAAGGGAUGGAAGUGAAGGGAUAAACAAUGGUGUUAACGUAGGCAAGCCUCUCCAGCCAUUUCAACUUUCCUCCAUAUCCAUACCAUAGUGGGCAGUGGCGACUCAGGAAAAUUUCAACAGAGCCUAAAGCCCAUCGCAGAACCUGGUGCAACCGAUCUGAUAGAUUAAUGGGAGCUGAUCCCUUAAAAGCUGCUCUCUCUGGACUACAGUAAAUUGACUUCCAUCCUCUGCAAUGCAUCUUGAAUCCUGUCAAGAUAUCCUCUGUAACAGAGCCAUAAAUCCAUCCAACCUCUUUGCCCCAUUCGGUUUUCUCUUCAUAACCACAACUAAUAACAUGAAUGGCUUCUUUAAUGAGUGUUGAAGGAUUAGUUCCUUCAGGCAGGCCACCUUCUUCCAUGAGAGUGGAGGCAAUAAAUACUGGAGAUUGACCAAAUCGUUUCUCAAAAUUUUUCUGUGACAUUAGUGAUGAUUUCUCUAACUCUUCAUAACCUUCAAGCCCUUCUUCAAUCUCUUCAAGUUCAAAGACUGAUCCAGACCCUUUCCUUUUGUAGUUCUUACCCAUCAUUUUCUUUUUCCU